CAAUAGCAUAUAUUAACGUUGUUGCAGUUGAAAAGCUCGUAGUUGAACUUUUGGUAGGAGCGACCUGGCCUUGGGCGCAUGCCCUUGUUUGCCGUGUGUCGUAUCUGGCCAUCCUUUUCCGCUUCGGCGGGAAUCCUUUACUGUGAGUAAACUGGAGUGCUCAAAACAAGACGUUUGUUUGGUACAUUAAAGCAUGGAAUAAUAAGAUAGGACCUGGUUACUAUUUUGUUGGUUUGCAUAGCUAGGUAAUGAUUAACAGGGACAGUUGGGGGUAUUCGUAUUUAAUUGUCAGAGGUGAAAUUCUUGGAUUUAUGAAAGACGAACGACUGCGAAAGCAUUUACCAAGGAUGUUUUCAUUGA
rnacentral:rRNA from 1 species